rnacentral:rRNA from 1 species
GACGAACGCUGGCGGCGUGCCUAAUACAUGCAAGUAGAACGCAGUUGCGAACGGGUGAGUAACACGUAGGUAACUGCCUCAUAGCGGGGGAUAACUAUUGGAAACGAUAGCUAAUAACGCCUACUGUGAGCUGGACCUGCGUUGUAUUAGCUAGUUGGUGAGGUAAAGGCUCACCAAGGCGCCGGUACAUAGCCGACCUGAGAGGGGGAUCGGCCACACUGGGAACGAGACACGGCCCCGACUCCCACUGGAGGCAGCAGUAGGGAAUUUUCGGACAUGGAGGGAAGUCUGACCGAGCAAAGCCGGGUGAGUGAAGAAGGUUCUCGGAUCGUAAAGCUAGUUUGUGAGGGAAGCGGUAACUAAACAGAAAGGGACGGCUAACUACGUGCCAGCAGCCGCGGUAAUAC